GCGGCUGAGUGCCUGCUUCCGCCCGGUGGGUUUUGCACGGCGCACCCGGAAGGCGUGGCCUGCCAGGCAAGAUGGAGUUGCUGCAGGUCCUGAAACGCGGGCUGCAGCAGGUCAGUGGCCACGGCGGUCUCCGUGGCUAUUUGCGAGUUUUCUUCAGAGCAAAUGAUGUGAGAGUUGGUACAUUAGUGGGGGAAGACAAAUAUGGAAACAAAUACUAUGAAGACAACAAGCAAUUUUUUGGAGUUCUCUGAUUGCUGGGUGAAGAACAGGCAUGUCAGGAGGCAAGCUUGAAAUCAGGGAGACGAGGAUCUACCACGGUGGGUACCUAGCAAAUACUGAGAAGUUUCUGGAGAGAACAGGACGCUGAUGGAAAGGCACAGGGGAAAUGUCACGUGACCCAGGGAAGCUCAAAGCUGGCACAGGUGAUGAUGUGAUUGGAGGGGACCCCUCAGUGUCCCCAGAGGGCAUCUGGAUACAGCUGCAAGUGCCCUACUCAUUUUUUUUUUCACAUAAAUAAAGUGGAAUGUGGGAGCUAAGCCUCAGGCUCAGAGGUAACCGUCUCUGUGUUCAUAAUACGUUGCUCUCCGGUUGUCUGAGCUGGAAUCUCUGGCCUCUCAUUGCUCCAUAUGCGAGAAGGCUGAAAUACUGGUGCCUGUGUCACAGAGUCACUGUAAGGACUAAAUGAAUGACAUCAUUAGUAAAACCUGUCACUCGGGAGCACUUAAUAAAUGUUAGUCAUUGUUAUCAUUAUUGGGGCCUGGGACUCUUUCUCCUAACAAGUCAUAAUUUUUAUUAAUAACCUUUUCAGCUGGUAGAUGUGAUGCCUGUUCACAGAACAAUAUGUAAAUAUAAGAAACCACAGAUAAAAAAAUUGAAUCAGAAAUACCCCAUUCUCUCCCCUGCUAUCUCUGCUCUAUCAAGGAGAACCACCUGAAAAGCUUUUAGAACAACAGAUACCUGAGCCCCAAACUGCCUCUAACAAACCAGAACCUCAACAGGCAUAGUCAACGGAUCUGUAUUUAAAAAAAAAAAAUUCCAGAAUGUUCUAUUGUCAAACCAGAUUAAUUAAAGAAUCACUGACACACA